GGGGAAUAUUGCACAAUGGGCGAAAGCCUGAUGCAGCAACGCCGCGUGGAGGAUGAAGGCCUUCGGGUUGUAAACUCUUGUCUUCUGGGACGAUAAUGACGGUACCAGAGGAGGAAGCCACGGCUAACUACGUGCCAGCAGCCGCGGUAAUACGUAGGUGGCAAGCGUUGUCCGGAUUUACUGGGCGUAAAGGAUGCGUAGGCGGAUAUUUAAGUGGGAUGUGAAAUACCCGGGCUCAACCUGGGUGCUGCAUUCCAAACUGGAUAUCUGGAGUGCGGGAGAGGACAGUGGAAUUCCUAGUGUAGCGGUGAAAUGCGUAGAGAUUAGGAAGAACACCAGUGGCGAAGGCGACUUUCUGGACCGUAACUGACGCUGAGGCAUGAAAGCGUGGGGAGCAAACA
rnacentral:rRNA from 1 species